UAUUGGACAAUGGGCGCAAGCCUGAUCCAGCCAUGCCGCGUGAGUGAUGAAGGCCUUAGGGUUGUAAAGCUCUUUUAGCGGAGACGAUAAUGACGGUAUCCGCAGAAAAAGCCCCGGCCAACUUCGUGCCAGCAGCCGCGGUAAUACGAAGGGGGCUAGCGUUGCUCGGAAUCACUGGGCGUAAAGCGCACGUAGGUGGGUCGUUAAGUCGGGGGUGAAAUCCCGGAGCUCAACUCCGGAACUGCCUUCGAUACUGGCGACCUUCGAGUCCGGGAGAGGUGAGUGGAACUGCGAGUGUAGAGGUGAAAUUCGUAGAUAUUCGCAAGAACACCAGUGGCGAAGGCGGCUCACGGCCCGGUACGACACUGAGGUGCGAAA
rnacentral:rRNA from 1 species